UUUUGUUCUAUUUUCUUUUGUUUAUUUUACUAGUUACGUGUGUAGUGUGGUUUUUUUUUUUUUUUUGUCGUCUUUUUAUUUUCAAAUGAAGUUGCUUGUGCAGCACCAAAGACUGUAAUUCAUUUCUUGAGCAAGGUAGCUAUUCUGUUUGCAUAGACCUCAGUUGUACUGUAGUUGUAGAAUGGGGUUAAAUUAAAACAAAAAAAAGUUGUAUUUAAAAAAACAAAACAAACAAAAAAAAAACCAGCUGAGGUUUUGUCUAGCUUAUUGGGCAAUUAAUAAGUCGUAUCAUUUCUUUCUUGAAUGUAUCAUAGAUAAGCUGCUAUAUGAUUGCCACUUCAAUAGCUGUGAAAUUAGGUGAUUUCUCUCUGAGUUUAAACCUAGCGUUGCUAUUUUUGUAUAGGUCCCUAAUUAUCUGAAAUAGAAGUGGUUUUGAUUUUUGUGUUUUGCGUUCAUAUUUGAAGUGUCAUUGUAACUACUGUAUUGCUGAUGAUGAACAUUAGUUGCAUUUGUCGUUUCUCGGGGUGCGUGUUUUUUGCAUCAGUAUUUUAUCCUUAUUAACCUUUUGGGCUCGUCACUGCAUAUAAAUGAUGUAUCGAUGUAACUUAAUUUUUGUAUGUUUUCAUAUUGACGUUUUGUACACAUCUGAAGCUGUAGCUUGCAGGAUUGAGUUAACUUUUUUAUUGUGCGUAAACGGUGUGCUACCAGUACUCUCGUGGGUUAUGAGGGCACUGCGAGGGGGGGAAAAAGAAAACAAAAACAUUGUGUUCCAUUGGAAAACUUCUGUGUUGUUUCCACCAGUCACACACAAACGCACUUGCCACUAAGCACUUAUAGAGGUAGGGAGGUUUGUAAGGGUUUGGGUGAUUAGACUGUAAGAGAGAAAUUUAGCCCAAUUUUUCUGUUCUAAAAUGACGUUUUCUGACUUGUUUUUAUUGUUAAAUUGGUUUGAUCAAAGUAUUUAUUGCAGCCCUUUUAUCUGUUCAAUGUUAUAUCUGGCUAGGAUAUCAGUUUCACAGUUUGAUAUUAUAAACUGCCUUGAGUUCAGAUCGCUCUCCCCUUUAUGAGUGUCUAAUAUCAAAACGAUGUUUUGUCGGUGCGAAACAGUUACCGUUGUGAUAUGUCCUUUCUUGAAAUUGAGACAGUGUGAGCAGCACUGUUUAUGUGCCUUGAGAUUCAGAAAGUGAGAAUUCAUGCUGGUGAUUUCUUCCCGAUUUAUUUGAGGAAGGCGUAGAAUUCAGUAACAGUUCCCUACAGUGUAGAAUGGACAAGUUUUUAGCAGACAUUUGACCAAGAGUUUAAAGAGGAAAGUAAGAAAAACAAGAAGCAGAGAAUAAAAACAACUCAAAGUAGGACUUCAUCGUAGUGAGUCUUCUGAUCAGCUUAUACACAUGAACAGCGUAGUGGUGGUUCUCCGCUUGUUUCAGACAGUCGCCACGUAAAACCUCUCUGAUUAAUACACACAUGCGUGCGCUUUGAAUGAUGCCACACUCACUCAAUGGUCUUUGGAUAGUCACUCUGGCUGAACAGCAGAUGCAAUACUUUACAUUGUGCGGUCAUUGCACCACCAAGUGUUCUUAGAUAAUCUCCAUGCUUUACAUUACCUUGCAUGUACACCUUAGAUGCUUCACUUUGUCUGCCUAGAAGCUGACUGCCUAGAGCAGCGCUCCUAUCAUGCAAGCUGAAGCUGAGUGGGAGUAACCAGAGCACGGCUGACAACACUGGCCUUUUAAAAAUCAGAAGCUAUGUUCUGCGUUCUGGACGAAAAGAGCUCUGUCGAGGAGGUUGUCAUCUUCUCUGUCAGUCAUGAGUGCAAUACUCCACAUUUCGACACUGACAUUGAUAUGGUUGUAUGUUUUUUUUUUUUUUUUUUUAUAGCUUUUGUCUGACUUGUAUGCUUUACUGAUCAUACUCAAAUAUCCCUUUGGGAAAGAAAGCUUAUGAUGACAAGGCAUGGACUUGGCAGAUUAGUGCUUGAAAUAGUUCCCCCAAUAAUAAGCAUGUGAAAUGUAAUCUGUGUUUUGAUUCCUUCAAAGGUAUUCACCAGCAAUGCGCCUGCAUAAACUCUCCCGUACUUGUUUAGGAAAAGAAUGGAUGCAAGAGGAGAGAAAUGUUAAAACUGUUUUUAAUUUUCCACAAGAUUGACACCUUGAUUUCUUUUCUUUUCUUUUCUUUGAGGAUUCAUGUAACAUUUAACAGAUAAAACAGUCAUUUGUAAAAUUACUUCUAUUAAUGUUAUGACUUUGAUAUGGAAAAAAAAAAAUCCUCUGCUGCGGUAUUAUCCUUUAGAGAUCUUAAUUCAGGGUGUGUAUUAGUCUAAUUGUGCUACUGUGUAACUGUUUGAUUUUAAUAUGAGAUUUGUUUUACUCAAGCUCUUAUUUUCAGUUUUCUGGUCACCUGUAUCAAUUUCAGAGUUAAUUCACACUGCAAGUUAUGGAAUCAUCUGUUUGGAUUGCUCAUCAAUUAGACUUGGUAAUGAAAUCUGAACUGUUACUGUUUUAAUACCUGUAGAUUUUUUUUGUGGCUUUUAUUUCCUCCUGUUUUUGGUUCGUUUGCUUUUUUAAUUUUGUGCUACACUAGUUUGCCAUGUAGCAAUUGCACUGUGCAAUAUUUACAGUAUGAGGACUGGGAAAACUAACUCUAUGGAUGUGAUGUCUCUUUACAGUUUGCGAUAGUGUUUCCUCUCUAGUUCUCAGUGAUUUAGGUGUGACCAAGCCUUCUCUACUUUGUCACAUUAAGCGGGUUUUCCAGGUGACUCUUUUGGUGAGUGUCAAAAUAAGACUUUAUGGUGUAUUAUUGUUAAGAUUCACUUUGAAUUAAAAAAAAAAAUCUAUUGAUGCAGUUCUUUCUGAUUUGGUCUGUUCAUUCACAUUAAUGCAGGACCUUUUAUAAGUAAUAUAAACAAUAGGACACAUUGGACUCAUUUGUAUUUGUUUUAGUGUGUGAAUGGCAGGAAAAUUAGAGUUUGCAAGGUAGUAUCUUUACAUUUAUUGUCAAAAAAAAAAAAAAAAACUAUCCCUUUAGAAUUGUUUCAGGAGAAAAUUGCUCAAUUAUCAGACAUGAGAACCUGGAAUCAGACGAAAAAAGAGUUUUCUGUCAGUUAAUCUGUUUCAUUUAAUCUCCAAACAUGAAUAUGUUCGGAUGAAACUGAAAUUUGAACCUGAACACAAUAAACUGCACCUACUGAAGAA
ensembl:lncRNA